rnacentral:rRNA from 1 species
AGAGUUUGAUCCUGGCUCAGGAUGAACGCUGGCGGCAUGCCUAAUACAUGCAAGUCGAACGAGAGGAAAAGAAGCUUGCUUCUUUGAAUCUAGUGGCGAACGGGUGAGUAACACGUAGGUAACCUGCCCAUGUGCCCGGGAUAACUUCUGGAAACGGAUGCUAAAACCGGAUAGGUAGCAGACAAGCAUUUGACUGCUAUUAAAGUGGCUUUGGCCAUGAACAUGGAUGGACCUGCGGUGCAUUAGCUAGUUGGUGAGGUAACGGCCCACCAAGGCGACGAUGCAUAGCCGGCCUGAGAGGGCGGACGGCCACAUUGGGACUGAGACACGGCCCAAACUCCUACGGGAGGCAGCAGUAGGGAAUUUUCGUCAAUGGGGGGAACCCUGAACGAGCAAUGCCGCGUGAGUGAGGAAGGUCUUCGGAUCGUAAAGCUCUGUUGUAAGAGAAAAACGACAUUCAUAGGGAAUGAUGAGUGAGUGAUGGUAUCUUACCAGAAAGUCACGGCUAACUACGUGCCAGCAGCCGCGGUAAUACGUAGGUGGCGAGCGUUAUCCGGAAUGAUUGGGCGUAAAGGGUGCGUAGGUGGCAGAACAAGUCUGGAGUAAAAGGUAUGGGCUCAACCCGUACUGGCUCUGGAAACUGUUCAGCUAGAGAACAGAAGAGGACGGCGGAACUCCAUGUGUAGCGGUAAAAUGCGUAGAUAUAUGGAAGAACACCGGUGGCGAAGGCGGCCGUCUGGUCUGGAUACUGACACUGAAGCACGAAAGCGUGGGGAGCAAAUAGGAUUAGAUACCCUAGUAGUCCACGCCGUAAACGAUGAGAACUAGGUGUUGGGGGAAUAACUCAGUGCCGCAGUUAACGCAAUAAGUUCUCCGCCUGGGGAGUAUGCACGCAAGUGUGAAACUCAAAGGAAUUGACGGGGGCCCGCACAAGCGGUGGAGUAUGUGGUUUAAUUCGAAGCAACGCGAAGAACCUUACCAGGCCUUGACAUCCCUUGCAGAGGUAUAGAGAUAUAUCCGAGGUUAUCAAGGAGACAGGUGGUGCAUGGUUGUCGUCAGCUCGUGUCGUGAGAUGUUGGGUUAAGUC